rnacentral:sRNA from 1 species
GGCCACUCUCCUGGCAUGAGUUUGGCAGCUGACUGUGGUCCUCAUCCCCAAAUCUCCGUAUCUUUCUCCAGUUCACAGAGCUCCCCAUCCACAGUGAGAUGCAAGUGGCUCGGUUGCUGGCAUCAUCUCUGCUGCAAUUGUGAUGAUCGCCAUUCUUGCCCUGGGGAAGCUUCUGGAACCCUUGCAGAAGUCGGUCUUGGCAGCUGUCGUAAUUGCCAACCUGAAAGGGAUGUUUAUGCAGGUGUGUGACAUUCCUCGUCUGUGGAGGCAGAAUAAGAUUGAUGCUGUUAUCUGGGUGUUUACGUGUAUAGUGUCCAUCAUUCUGGGGCUGGAUCUCGGUUUACUAGCUGGCCUUAUAUUUGGACUAUUGACUGUGGUCCUGAGAGUUCAGUUUCCUUCUUGGAAUGGCCUUGGAAGCAUCCCUAGCACAGAUAUCUACAAAAGUACCAAGAAUUACAAAAAUAUUGAAGAACCUCGAGGAGUGAAGAUUCUUAGAUUUUCCAGUCCUAUUUUCUAUGGCAAUGUUGAUGGUUUUAAAAAAUGUAUCAAGUCCACAGUUGGAUUUGAUGCCAUUAGAGUAUAUAAUAAGAGGCUGAAAGCACUGAGGAAAAUACAGAAACUAAUAAAAAAUGGACAAUUAAGAGCAACAAAGAAUGGCAUCAUAAGUGAUGCUGGUUCAACAAAUAAUGCUUUUGAGCCUGAUGAAGAUA